CAGAUUUCAUUUGAUCGUACUACUUGUCAGUCAAGUUAUGGACAAGUUAUGGAUAAUAUGUCUACGGAUUUACUGAAUCAAUGAUAAAAGGAUACACGUUCGAAGAAAUUGUUAUAGGGUCCAAGACCAUCCGGCUAAGCAGGUAGCCGUUUACAAGGUUGUUUGCAGAUCCAGCAAAAUUUUGCCAAGAAAAGAGCUCUACCGAGAAGGACAUGUCUCCAUCUCUGACUGGUGAAGCCAUGUGAAAUGGUUCAGUAACUCAUUUAGCUCAUGACCACCCGACGGAUAAGAACUCAGCAGCUCGUGUCACUAACUUCUAUCUGUUAUCCUUCAAAUCAGUGACUGUAUGUUUUCAUUAGGCCCAAGUUAACCUUGUACAGUUUUGAACCAAAGGUAGGUUUCGUUUGGUAGACCUGUUUAAUUACAGGUAUACUGAGAUCCAUUGCCUAUAUAUCUAUGGAAGUACACUGACAUUGAAAUUAUUCCUUG